GACGAACGCUGGCGGCGUGCCUAACACAUGCAAGUCGAACGGAAAGGCCCUGCUUUUGUGGGGUGCUCGAUUGGCGAACGGGGGAGUAACACGUGAGUAACCUGCCCCUAACUUUCGGAUAACAUCAGGAAACUGGGGCUAUUACCGGGUAGGAUCUCCUGCUGCAUGGUGGUGGUUGGUAAGAUUCGGCGGUUGGGGAUGGACUCGCAGCUUAUCAGCUGCUUAGUGUGGUAGUUACUUUCCAAGGCUUCGACGGGUAGGCGGCAUGAGCGGGUGGACGGGGUCCAUGCGACUGCGAGACGGAGCAGUAUGGUACGGGAGGCAGCAGUGGGGAGUCUUGCGGAAUGGGGGGAAGCGUGAUGUGGAGACGCUGGGAGCGGGAUGAUGGGCUUCGGGUUGAAAACAGAUUUCGACGGUGACGAAGCGAGAGUGACGGUACUGGGUCAAGAAGCAACGGCUAACUACGUG
rnacentral:rRNA from 1 species